GCUGAGCACAUUCAAACCACCACAAGGGCUGAGACUUUCUGCUGUGUAACUACUACUGGGUGAAUGCAAAGUAUUUUAUGGCUUAUAAGAAAGCUACUGUGGCCACGGCCAUGGAACGUACAGGUGAGGCCCUGAGAGGGUAAUAGCACCGUGACACAUCAAGGCAGACAGAACUAGCCAAGCCCAGAGCUCUCCAGAAGCACUGCUCAUUUCCGACGUCAUCUACCAACUUUGCAAUCACCUUGCCUACCUCACUCGGCAAUCUAAGCUGCAGGGCUGGAACACACCAUCGGUUCAUGAGCCUGGUCCGCAAUCCUGUGACCUCCGUCUUGUUCCCUGACCCGAUGAGCCAGGCCGAGACAUCUAAAUUCAACCCUGGCUUUUACCCUGUUAACUCCAAGCUCUGUGCUUCACAUUGGAGACACCUGACCUAUGACCCUGGACCACAGACCCAAACUUGACCUCAACUCCAGCCUUGACUCUAGUUUGAGACCUUGACUUGACCUGACUCCUGGUCCCUCCCUUUGUCACCCUGAGCCAGGCCUGUUGAUGCAUACCUAUAAUCCCAGCACUUGGGAGGCAGAGGCAAGAAGAUCAGGAGUUCAAGACCACCUUUCGCUACAGAAUCAGUGUGAGACCAACCUGAGCUGCGUGAGACAAAAGUAAAACAAAAAAGCCCAAAGGUCAGUGGCCCAGGCCUGAAACCCCAGCCUCUCAGGAAGUGGGGCAGGAGGAUCUCAAAUUCAAGGCCCACUUGGGCCACACAGAGAAGCCCUGUCUUUAGGACCUUGUCACCGAGUUCUUUGGCUCCCCAUCCCUGAGGACUGAUGAACUUAACUUUAACCCUGCUUUUCCCCAACUUUGGUUCUUGAUCCAAUAACUCGGCCUUGGCCCCCAACCUUAUUACUCCAACUUCAGCUCCUUGCCCCUCUGCUGGUUUGAUUGCCUCUGAACCUCAGUGUUCACCAAAGGACCUAGUCCCAGUGUAUAUGGACAAACUAUGGCUCCCCAAUAGUCCUGACAAAGUUUCUCUGGCUCUCCUGUAGACCAGGCUGUCCUCAAACUCACGGAGAUCCCUCUGUCUCUGUCUCCUGAGUGCUGGGAUUAAAGAUAUGUGUCAACACUGCCUGAUGACUCUGACUCUUAAUUCAGACUUUGAGUCUGACUUUGAGCCCCAUCCUAAUCCUGCCCGUCCAUGCAUCCCACACCGGACUCCCCCGCAGUCCAGGCCUGGUUUGCAAACAUAGUCGCCCUGAUCAUCCCAGCCUCGCCUCCUAACUAUCCCCUUUGGCCUCUGAGCAAACAUAUCAGAAGCUGGGCCAAGAAGGCACAGAAGGGGAACUAAGGCAGAGCAGGGUUGGAUUAUGGGGAUCUAAGGCAGACCCUGCCACCUAUGUUCCCAAGCUCCAAGCAGAGACUGGGACACCCAGGAGCAGCUGGAGGAAGCACACGGUGAAUACACCUGGGGCUGGCGGGGCCCUGCCACCCACCAGGCCACUGCGGCAUACCUGUACCAGUUGGUAAGUGUCAUCAUGACAUGCAGGGAGGCCAGCACCAGGCAGAAGUGGAAGAAGGAAUAGCUGUAGGUGACACCGUCCUGCUCAUUGUCAUAGGUUCGGCCGUCACCGACGGCCACCUGCUGCUGCUGCACCAUUUCUGCUGGACACUCCUCUGUCUGCAUCAAGCUGUUCACCUGACGGUGGUCAGAGGAUCUCAGGCUGUGGGAGAGGAAGGCAGGCUGUUAGGGCCGCUAACAGAGAUGGGCGGACACAGCAGGGUGUGGUCCCACGAGCUAUGGGACCGGUCACAGUACUAGGUGGUCUUGGCUCCUUCCCAGGAACCAACAAACUGUUCAGACCCUCAGCUCUACUCCAAUUCCUUAUGUCCCCAAGUAAAAUACACCCUCUGUGAACCCUGGACUCCUCAACGUGUCUCACGAAUGCUCUGAACAGGGUAUAGACUAGUAUUUGUACCAUUCCCAGAACAGGUGCUAGAUACUGAGUACGGAGUACUGAGUACCAAGUACCAAGUAUUGAAAAUCACCAAACUAAGAACUGAUUAAGUUUUUGUCACAAACUAGGGUCUUCUAGGAAGAGGGAACCUCGAUUGAGGAAUUGCCUCUAUCAGAACAGCUUCUAGGUAGUCUUUGGGACAUCUUAUUGAUUAAUUGCCAAAGCAGGAGGCGCCAGAAGGACUCAGCUCACUGUGGGUGGUGCCACCAUGGACAGGUGGCCCUGGACUAUAGAAGAAAGCAGGCUGAGUAAGCCAUAGGGAGCAAGUCAGAAACCAAUGCUCCUCCACAGCUCCUGCCUCAGCGUCUGCUUCCUUCCAGGUCCCCACCUCGAGUUCUGGUUCUGACAUCUUUCACGAUGGAAUGGUUGUAGCCUGGAAACGUAAGCUGAGGUAAAUCCUUUCCUCCCAAGUUGCUUUUGAUUGCAGUAUUUAUCACAGCAAUGGAAGGAAAUUUAUACAAUUGUUUUUGAGGGUGGAGAGUGUAUGUGUAUGUGUGCGUGUGUAUAUGUGGGUGUCCUUGCCUGUAGUAACAUUGUAUGUGUGUGCACACGCAUGCAUAUAUGUGCGCAUGCGUGUGUGGUUUGUGCAUGUGUGCAUGUGUGUGUGUGUGUGUGUAAACACUUGUGUAAGCCAGAUGAUGUUAGGUUUCCCCCUCAACUGCUCAGCUGUUUUAUUUUUCUGAGGCAGGGUCUCUCAUUGGUCCUGGGAGUUGACAUUUCAGAUUCACUGAGACUGCCCCUGUUCCCACCCUGCAGGGCAAGGGUCACAGUAGUGUGCUUCAGGUAUAUGCUGGAGACCCACGCUCGGGCCGUCAUGUUCACGCAGCCGUACACUAUCCACUGCACCAUCAUCCCGGAACUCUGGUUGUUUUGUAUGACCGUCUGACGUAUUCCACGCUGGCCCGGAACUCAGUCACGAUAGAGCCCAGGCUGUUCUAAACCUCACAGCAACCCUCCCUCCUGCCUCUGCCUCCCAAAGGUUGGAAUUACAGGCGUGAGCCAUGUCUGGAAACCUGAAACUUUACUAGUCUUAGGGAUUUUGUUUUAGCAAUUGCUUUCAUGUUUAUGGAAAAGAAGGCGGGGCAAAGGGGCCAGUACCAGAGCACUGGCCUAUCACAAGCAAAGCCCCGGCCGGCCUGAUCUCAGCAUUGAAAAGAAAGCCAAACAAUGCCAUAGGCUGUCAAGGUGGCUCGGUGAGGUAAAAGGGCUUGGUGCACAAGCCUGGUGACUGAGUUUCUUCCUUAGAAUCCAUGUGAAGGAGGGAACAGACUCCACUGACCUCCACAUGUGUGCCGUGGUCCAUGCAUUUCCACAUACACGUCAUGCUCACAUAUGCAAGGAGACCUUUUAAAAGGCCUGGACUUUAUUUUCUGGGUGCCGGCCUUUCCUGAGCUUUCCAUUGGCUAAUGAAGGAGUCAGUGCAUUAGACACUUGGGAGUUCCUUUUAAUUUGAGUUUUCUUUUUUCAAUCUUAUUAUUUUUUAUGUUCAUUGGUGUUUUGCCUGCUUGUCUGUCUACACAAGGGUACCAGAUCCCUUGGAACUGGAGUUACAGACAGUUGUGAGCUGUUUCGUGGGUGCUGGGAAUUGAACCCGGGAACCUUAACAACAGAGCCAUCUCUCCAGCCCCUUACUUGGAAUUGUCUACAGCUUGUGUCUUUUUUUUUGUUGUUGUUCUUUUUUUUUCGGAGCUGGGGACUGAACCCAGGGCCUUGCGCUUCCUAGGCAAGCGCUCUACCACUGAGCUAAAUCCCCAAUCCC